GUGGGUGCGUAUCGGACUACUGGGCGUAAGCGUGCGCAGGCGGAUUGUUAAGCAAGAUGUGAAAUCCCCGGGCUUAACCUGGGAAUGGCAUUUUGAACUGGCAGUCUAGAGUGCGUCAGAGGGGGGUGGAAUUCCACGUGUAGCAGUGAAAUGCGUAGAGAUGUGGAGGAACACCGAUGGCGAAGGCAGCCCCCUGGGAUGACACUGACGCUCAUGUACGAAAGCGUGGGUAGCAAACAGGAUUAGAUACCCUGGUGGUCCACGCCCUAAACGAUGUCAACUGGUUGUUGGGGGAGUGAAAUCCCUUAGUAACGAAGCUAACGCGUGAAGUUGACCGCCUGGGGAGUACGGUCGCAAGAUUAAAACUCAAAGGAAUUGACGGGGACCCGCACAAGCGGUGGAUGAUGUGGAUUAAUUCGAUGCAACGCGAAAAACCUUACCUACCCUUGACAUGUCCGGAAUCCUGCAGAGAUGCGGGAGUGCCCGAAAGGGAAUCGGAACACAGGUGCUGCAUGGCUGUCGUCAGCUCGUGUCGUGAGAUGUUGGGUUAAGUCCCGCAACGAGCGCAACCCUUAUCAUUAGUUGCUACGCAAGGGCACUCUAAUGAGACUGCCGGUGACAAACCGGAGGAAGGUGGGGAUGACGUCAAGUCCUCAUGGCCCUUAUGGGUAGGGCUUCACACGUCAUACAAUGGUCGGUACAGAGGGUCGCCAACCCGCGAGGGGGAGCCAAUCUCAGAAAGCCGAUCGUAGUCCGGAUUGUUCUCUGCAACUCGAGAGCAUGAAGUCGGAAUCGCUAGUAAUCGCGGAUCAGCAUGUCGCGGUGAACACGUUCCCGGGUCUUGUACACACCGCCCGUCACACCAUGGGAGCGGGUUCUGCCAGAAGUAGUUAGUCUAACCGCAAGGAGGGCGAUUACCACGGCAGGUUUCGUGACUGGGGUGAAGUCGUAACAAGGUAAC
rnacentral:rRNA from 1 species